UAAGGAAUAUUGCGCAAUGGACGAAAGUCUGACGCAGCAACGCCGCGUGCAGGAUGAAGGCCCUCUGGGUUGUAAACUGCUGUAGCAGGGGACUAAUAGCCGACUCGGUCGGCAGCGAAGGUACCCUGAAAGUAAGCACCGGCUAACUACGUGCCAGCAGCCGCGGUAAUACGUAGGGUGCAAGCGUUGUCCGGAUUCACUGGGUGUAAAGGGUGCGCAGGCGGAUUGGCAAGUCAGGGGUGAAAUCUCA
rnacentral:rRNA from 1 species